rnacentral:lncRNA from 1 species
CUUAUAACACAUAUUACAAGUAAAGUUCCCACUUGCCUCCAGCAGAAAAGUCACAUCAUGUAUCACAUCUUCUUGCACAUGACAGGAUUUUUGUCGUGACUUUCCUAAAUUCUCACUGUGCCAAGCAAGCAAGAAAGUGCCCACAGGAGUGGGAGGGAAAAGACACAUGGGAUGGCAGCAAGGAAACCUGCCUAGAGGAGCCAGCCAUCCCGUCUGUCCCCUCACUUCCUUCCAGAGAGAACGUCUUUCCUUGACAGCGCCUGCCUCCUGUCAUUUCAUCCCAACACUUUGCCCAGCCCGGGAAAUCUGGAUUUUCUUUUUAAAGAAAGAUGUCUAGAGAGAAAAAUAGAAAAUGAACAGCCAAUAGAAAGUGCAACAGAGCUUGUUGAUUUGGUUCUGUCAGAUGCCCCAAGUGUUCGUGGUAAGCUGGAAAACUCUCCAUCCACUAGAGGCAGCCACAGCUCGGGAUGCUGAUAAAGUUCUGACACAGGGAGUGAGUGAUGAGUGGUGUGUAAAAGU